ACGGAGGGUGCGAGCGUUGUCCGGAAUCAUUGGGCGUAAAGGGCGCGUAGGUGGCUUCUUAAGCGUGCGGUGAAAGCCUGGGGCUCAACCCCGGGUCGGCCGUGCGAACUGGGGGGCUGGAGCACUGUAGAGGCAGGCGGAAUUCCGGGUGUAGCGGUGGAAUGCGUAGAUAUCAGGAGGAACACCCGAGGCGAAGGCGGCUCUCUGGGUCGUACCUGACGCUGAGGCGCGAAAGCGUGGGGAGCGAACGGGA
rnacentral:rRNA from 1 species